rnacentral:rRNA from 1 species
CCUACGGGGGGCAGCAGUGAGGGAUAUUGGUCAAUGGGCGAGAGCCUGAACCAGCCAAGUCGCGUGAGUGAGUACUGCCCUAUGGGCUGUAAACCUCUUUUAUAAAGGAGUAAAUUGAGGCACGUGUGCCUGUUUGUAUGUACUUUAUGAUUAAGGAUCCGCUAACUACUUGCCAGCAGCCGGGGUAAUACGGAGGAUCCGAGCGUUAUCAGGAUUUAGUGGGUUUAAGGGGGGCGUAGAUGGGUUGUCAAGUCAGUUGGUAAAGUUUGGGGCUCAACCGUAAAACUGCUAUUGAUACUGGGUGCCUGGAGUACAGGUGAGGCAGGCGGAAUUCGUGGUGUAGCGGUGAAAUGCUUAGAUAUCACGAAGAACUCCGAUUGCGAAGGCAGCUUACUAAACUGCCACUGACAUUGAGGCUCGAAAGUGUGGGGAGCAAACAGGAUUAGAUACCCCUGUAGUC